rnacentral:rRNA from 1 species
UGGGGAAUAUUGGACAAUGGGCGGAAGCCUGAUCCAGCAACGCCGCGUGAGGGAUGACGGCCUUCGGGUUGUAAACCUCUUUCAGUACCGACGAAGCGAAAGUGACGGUAGGUACAGAAGAAGGACCGGCCAACUACGUGCCAGCAGCCGCGGUAAUACGUAGGGUCCGAGCGUUGUCCGGAAUUAUUGGGCGUAAAUGGGCUCGGUAGGCGGUUUGUCGCGUCGGGAGUGAAAACAGCGGGCUUAACUCGUUGCUUGCUUUCGAUACGGGCAGACUAGGGGUAUGCAGGGGAGAAUGGAAUUCCUGGUGUAGCGGUGAAUGCGCAGAUAUCAGGAGGAACACCGGUGGCGAAGGCGGUUCUCUGGCAUUACCUGACGCUGAGGAGCGAAA